AAUACAUAAACUGCAAGAGUUAUAGGUAAAAUCACUCUGACCUGUGUCCUGGCUGGAAGCAGCAAAGAAAGAGGGAAUGGGAAGCCUGUCAGGGACUUAUAUACAAGAGGUGCUGGACUCUGAUUGGUUAAACCUUUUUCUUUUCUGAUUGAUUGACUUGUGCUGCUGGAGGCAUAAAGUAAAGAAAGUUUAUGCAAAAUAGGAAGCCUCCUGUCAUGUAAUAAAAUUAACUACCAGCAGGUGUAAUCAGAUGGGUUUAAUUCAUACUUUUACAUUGCCACAAUGUUUGAAUAAUCCAAAAG